rnacentral:rRNA from 1 species
AUGUCAUAUAGGAACAACAACCCUGAGAUCUCAUCGUUUGCCUCUAGUUAUCCAUUGCAGGGAAUUAGGUACAAUGAGGAGAGUAACAACUAUGCACCACAACAAUUUUAUUCAGCUCCUAUUCAUGUACCUCAACACCGGGAGAUGUGUCCAAUGGAGUUAAAUGGUCCUCCACUUGGUCAACCAACAACUCCAGCACCUGUUGAGCAAUCUCAUGCACAAGUGCCCACACAAGAUGAGUUCGAUGACAUAGAUAAGCUCACAUUGCUUAGUCUCAAGUUCACUUGGAAUGCGGAAGAUGAUCCUAUUAGGAAGGUGAUACUAGAGGAAAUGAAGAAGAUUAAGAGUGGAAAAGAGCUAGUGGAAGAAGUAAGGAAGAUUGAGAAGAACAUCAACACUGGCAGUACUAUUUCAUCACAACUUGAGCUGAGUAUUUCUGGGAUUCCCCUUGAUACAUGUGAGGUUCUAGCACCAUCACAUCAAGCUGAGCAAGAUAGCAAGAGUCCGGAGAAAGAGAGACCUCAGAUUGAAGAUGUCUCGAAGCCAAGGAACAAGAUGAUCCAGAGCUGCAAUUCCUAA